GAUGAACGCUGGCGGCGUGCCUAAUACAUGCAAGUCGAGCGAAUGGGUUAAGAGCUUGCUCUUAUGAAGUUAGCGGCGGACGGGUGAGUAACACGUGGGUAACCUGCCCAUAAGACUGGGAUAACUCCGGGAAACCGGGGCUAAUACCGGAUAACAUUUUGAACCGCAUGGUUCGAAAUUGAAAGGCGGCUUCGGCGGUCACUUGUGGAUGGACCCGCGUCGCAUUAGCUAGUUGGUGAGGUAACGGCUCACCAAGGCAACGAUGCGUAGCCGACCGGAGAGGGUGAUCGGCCACACUGGGACUGAGACACGGCCCAGACUCCUACGGGAGGCAGCAGUAGGGAAUCUUCCGCAAUGGACGAAAGUCUGACGGAGCAACGCCGCGUGAGUGAUGAAGGCUUUCGGGUCGUAAAACUCUGUUGUUAGGGAAGAACAAGUGCUAGUUGAAUAAGCUGGCACCUUGACGGUACCUAACCAGAAAGCCACGGCUAACUACGUGCCAGCCGCCGCAGUAA
rnacentral:rRNA from 1 species